GACGAACGCUGGCGGCGUGCUUAACACAUGCAAGUCGAACGAAGUGGCGAACGGGUGAGUAACGCGUAAUCAACCUGCCCUUCAGAGGGGGACAACAGUUGGCAACGACUGCUACUACCGCAUACUGAAGGCGGGGAUUGCGGUUGAGUAGCUAGUUGGCGGGGUAACGGCCCACCAAGGCGAUGAUCAGUAGCCGGUCUGAGAGGAUGAACGGCCACAUUGGGACUGAGACACGGCCCAGACUCCUACGGGAGGCAGCAGUGGGGAAUCUUCCGCAAUGGACGAAAGUCUGACGGAGCAACGCCGCGUGAGUGAUGACGGCCUUCGGGUUGUAAAGCUCUGUUAAUCGGGACGCGGUACCGGAAUAGAAAGCCACGGCUAACUACGUGCCAGCAGCCGCGGUAAUAC
rnacentral:rRNA from 1 species